GGAAUAUUGCACAAUGGAGGAAACUCUGAUGCAGCAACGCCGCGUGGAGGAUGACGCAUUUCGGUGUGUAAACUCCUUUUAUAUGUCAAGAAAAUGACGGUAGCAUAUGAAUAAGCACCGGCUAACUCCGUGCCAGCAGCCGCGGUAAUACGGAGGGUGCAAGCGUUAUUCGGAAUCACUGGGCGUAAAGGACGCGUAGGCGGGAAGCCAAGUCUGAUGUGAAAUCCUACAGCUCAACUGUAGAACUGCAUUGGAAACUGGUUACCUAGAGUAUGGGAGGGGGAGAUGGAAUUAGUGGUGUAGGGGUAAAAUCCGUAGAUAUCACUAGGAAUACCGAAAGCGAAGGCGAUCUCCUGGAACAAUACUGACGCUAAGGCGUGAAAGCGUGGGGAGCAAACGGGAUUAGAUACCCCGGUAGUCCACGCCCUAAACGAUGUUCACUAGUCGUCGGAAUGCUAGUCAUUUCGGUGAUGCACUUAACAGAUUAAGUGAACCGCCUGGGGAGUACGGUCGCAAGAUUAAAACUCAAAGGAAUAGACGGGGACCCGCACAAGUGGUGGAGCAUGUGGUUUAAUUCGAAGAUACGCGAAGAACCUUACCUAGCCUUGACAUUGAAGAAACACACUAGAGAUAGAGUGGUGCCCUUCGGGGAAUCUGAAAACAGGUGCUGCACGGCUGUCGUCAGCUCGUGUCGUGAGAUGUUGGGUUAAGUCCCGCAACGAGCGCAACCCUCGUCCUUAGUUGCCAGCAGGUUAAGCUGGGCACUUUAAGGAGACUGCCUUCGCAAGGAGGAGGAAGGUGAGGACGACGUCAAGUCAUCAUGGCCCUUAUGGCUAGGGCUACACACGUGCUACAAUGGGGCGUACAGAGAGUUGCGAUACCGCGAGGUGGAGCCAAUCUCAUAAAGCGUCUCUCAGUUCGGAUUGAAGUCUGCAACUCGACUUCAUGAAGCUGGAAUCACUAGUAAUCGUAGAUCAGCAAUGCUACGGUGAAUACGU
rnacentral:rRNA from 1 species